rnacentral:rRNA from 1 species
AUUGAACGCUGGCGGCAUGCUUUACACAUGCAAGUCGAACGGUAACAGGCCUUCGGGUGCUGACGAGUGGCGAACGGGUGAGUAAUGCAUCGGAACGUGCGCAGAGGUGGGGGAUAACGCAGCGAAAGCUGUGCUAAUAUCGCGUGUGAUCUGUGGAUGAAAGCGGGGGACCAGUUAGCACUUUUUGGCCUCGCACCUUUGUAGCGCGCGAUGUCAGAUUAGGUAGUUGGUGGGGUAAAGGCCUACCAAGCCGACGAUCUGUAGCUGGUCUGAGAGGACGACCAGCCACACUGGGACUGAGACACGGCCCAGACUCCUACGGGAGGCAGCAGUGGGGAAUUUUGGACAAUGGGCGCAAGCCUGAUCCAGCAAUGCCGCGUGCGGGAAGAAGGCCUUCGGGUUGUAAACCGCUUUUGUACGGAACGAAAAGGCUCUGGCUAAUACCUGGCGCUGAUGACGGUACCGUAAGAAUAAGCACCGGCUAACUACGUG